UGAGGACUGCAGAUACAAGGUUAAUUUCCAC
rnacentral:piRNA from 1 species